UAAGGAAUCUUGCGCAAUGGGCGAAAGCCUGACGCAGCGACACCGCGUGAGGGAUGAAGGCCUUCGGGUUGUAAACCUCUGUCAGGGGGAAAGAAACUCCGGCUGGCAAACAACCGGCCGGACUGACGGUACCCCCAAAGGAAGCGCCGGCUAACUCCGUGCCAGCAGCCGCGGUAAGACGGAGGGCGCGAACGUUGUUCGGAAUCACUGGGCGUAAAGGGCGCGUAGGCGGAUCGGUAAGUCAGACGUGAAAACCCGGGGCUCAACUCCGGGACUGCGUUUGAAACUGCCGUUCUAGAGUGCAGGAGAGGAAGGCGGAAUUCCCGGUGUAGCGGUGGAAUGCGUAGAUAUCGGGAAGAACACCAGUGGCGAAGGCGGCCUUCUGGACUGUUACUGACGCUGAUGCGCGAAAGCUAGGGGAGCAAACAGG
rnacentral:rRNA from 1 species